AUUGAACGCUGGCGGAAUGCCUAACACAUGCAAGUCGAGCGGCAGCAGGGACUUCGGUUUGGUGGCGAGUGGCGGACGGGUGAGUAAUGUAUCGGAACGUGCCUGGUCGUGGGGGAUAACGUAGUGAAAAUUACGCUAAUACCGCAUACGAUCUACGGAUGAAAGCGGGGGAUCGCCAGACCUCGCGCGAUUGGAGCGGCCGAGAUCAGAUUAGGUAGUUGGUGAGGUAAAGGCCCACCAAGCCGACGAUCUGUAACUGGUCUGAGAGGAUGACCAGCCACUCUGGAACUGAGACACGGUCCAGACUCCUGCGGUAGGCAGCAGGGGGGAAUAUUGGACAAUGGACGGAAGUCUGAUCCAGCCAUCCCGCGUGCGGGACGAAGGUCUUCGGGUUGUAAAGUGCUUUAAUACGGAACGAAAAGGUGUAUAUUAAUACUUGGGGCUCAUGACGUUACCGUAAGAAUAAGCACCGGCUAACUACGUGCCAGCCGCCGCAGUAA
rnacentral:rRNA from 1 species